rnacentral:rRNA from 1 species
AUUGAACGCUGGCGGCAGGCCUAACACAUGCAAGUCGAGCGGUAGCACAGAGAGCUUGCUCUCGGGUGACGAGCGGCGGACGGGUGAGUAAUGUCUGGGAAACUGCCUGAUGGAGGGGGAUAACUACUGGAAACGGUAGCUAAUACCGCAUAACGUCGCAAGACCAAAGUGGGGGACCUUCGGGCCUCAUGCCAUCAGAUGUGCCCAGAUGGGAUUAGCUGGUAGGUGGGGUAACGGCUCACCUAGGCGACGAUCCCUAGCUGGUCUGAGAGGAUGACCAGCCACACUGGAACUGAGACACGGUCCAGACUCCUACGGGAGGCAGCAGUGGGGAAUAUUGCACAAUGGGCGCAAGCCUGAUGCAGCCAUGCCGCGUGUGUGAAGAAGGCCUUCGGGUUGUAAAGCACUUUCAGCGGGGAGGAAGGCGGUGAGGUUAAUAACCUCAUCGAUUGACGUUACCCGCAGAAGAAGCACCGGCUAACUCCGUGCCAGCAGCCGCGGUAAUACGGAGGGUGCAAGCGUUAAUCGGAAUUACUGGGCGUAAAGCGCACGCAGGCGGUCUGUCAAGUCGGAUGUGAAAUCCCCGGGCUCAACCUGGGAACUGCAUUCGAAACUGGCAGGCUAGAGUCUUGUAGAGGGGGGUAGAAUUCCAGGUGUAGCGGUGAAAUGCGUAGAGAUCUGGAGGAAUACCGGUGGCGAAGGCGGCCCCCUGGACAAAGACUGACGCUCAGGUGCGAAAGCGUGGGGAGCAAACAGGAUUAGAUACCCUGGUAGUCCACGCUGCAAACGAUGUCGAUUUGGAGGUUGUGCCCUUGAGGCGUGGCUUCCGGAGCUAACGCGUUAAAUCGACCGCCUGGGGAGUACGGCCGCAAGGUUAAAACUCAAAUGAAUUGACGGGGGCCCGCACAAGCGGUGGAGCAUGUGGUUUAAUUCGAUGCAACGCGAAGAACCUUACCUGGUCUUGACAUCCACAGAACUUUCCAGAGAUGGAUUGGUGCCUUCGGGAACUGUGAGACAGGUGCUGCAUGGCUGUCGUCAGCUCGUGUUGUGAAAUGUUGGGUUAAGUCCCGCAACGAGCGCAACCCUUAUCCUUUGUUGCCAGCGGUUAGGCCGGGAACUCAAAGGAGACUGCCAGUGAUAAACUGGAGGAAGGUGGGGAUGACGUCAAGUCAUCAUGGCCCUUACGACCAGGGCUACACACGUGCUACAAUGGCAUAUACAAAGAGAAGCGACCUCGCGAGAGCAAGCGGACCUCAUAAAGUAUGUCGUAGUCCGGAUUGGAGUCUGCAACUCGACUCCAUGAAGUCGGAAUCGCUAGUAAUCGUAGAUCAGAAUGCUACGGUGAAUACGUUCACGGGCCUUGUACACACCGCCCGUCACACCAUGGGAGUGGGUUGCAAAAGAAGUAGGUAGCUUAACCUUCGGGAGGGCGCUUACCACUUUGUGAUUCAUGACUGGGGUG